UGGGGAAUAUUGGACAAUGGAGGAAACUCUGAUCCAGCAAUUCUGCGUGUGUGAAGAAGGUCUUAGGACUGUAAAACACUUUUAGUAGGGAAGAAAAAAAUGACGGUACCUACAGAAGAAGCAACGGCUAAAUACGAGCCAGCAGCCGCGGUAAUACGUAUGUUGCGAGCGUUAUCCGGAAUUAUUGGGCUUAAAGGGCAUCUAGGCGGUAAGACAAGUUGAAGGUGAAAACCUGUGGCUCAACCAUAGGCUUGCCUACAAAACUGUUGAACUAGAGUACUGGAAAGGUGGGUGGAACUACACGAGUAGAGGUGAAAUUCGUAGAUAUGUGUAGGAAUGCCGAUGAUGAAGAUAACUCGCUGGACAGAAACUGACGCUGAAGUGCGAAAGCUAGGGGAGCAAACAGG
rnacentral:rRNA from 1 species